GGAUUUUUUCAGAAUUUUCUCGAAAUUUUUGAUAUUUUUCUGGAAUGCUUACAUUUUCUAUAAAAUUUUAUAAAAUUAUCACAAUUUUCAGAAAUUUCAAAUUUUUCAGUUUAGAAAUUUUCAAAGAACAGAGCAUUUUUUAAAGUGUUUUUUUUGCAGAUACGAGAGGA
ensembl:ncRNA C04H5.10 ncRNA